AUGGCCGCGGCGGCGCUGGCGAACGGGGACGUGCGCGCCGGCGGCGGGGGCGCGGUGCCGCGGCCGACGAACCCGAUGGUCACGCCCCUGCUCACCGACCUCUACCAGUUCUCCAUGGCCUACGCCUACUGGAAGGCCGGCAAGCACCUCGACCGCGCCGUCUUUGAUCUUUACUUCCGGAAGAGCCCCUUUGCUGGUGAGUUCACCGUCUUUGGGGGCCUUGAAGAGUGUAUACGGUUUAUUGCCAACUUCAAGUUCAAAGAAGAGGAAAUCAAUUUUCUGCGGGCUGCACUACCUACAUGUGAGGAUGGCUUCUUCGAGUACCUCAGUUCAAUUGACUGCUCAGAUGUUGAGGUUUAUGCCAUCCCUGAGGGUUCUGCUGUGUUUCCUAAGGUUCCACUGAUGAUAAUCGAAGGACCUGUUGCGGUUGUCCAACUUCUUGAAACUCCAUUUUUAAGUCUGGUGAACUAUGCUUCAUUGGUUACUACAAAUGCUGCAAGGCACCGCCUUGUAGCAGGGAAGCCAAAGAAUUUACUUGAAUUUGGACUUCGACGGGCUCAAGGGCCAGAUGGAGGAAUCAGUGCAUCAAGAUAUUCUUAUAUGGGAGGAUUUGAUGCAACGAGCAAUGUUGCAGCAGGAAGGUUGUUUGGGAUACCAAUACGUGGGACUCACUCACAUGCAUUUGUGAGCUCUUUCCUGGGUCUUGAUGAAAUCAUUGACAAAGCACUGUCUAGCUCUGAUGGUUCGAACAAAUGUGAAGACUUUGUCUCUCUAGUGCAGAAUUGGCUGGUUAAGAUUCAGGAUGCUAGUUCAUUGCGUGGUUCCUUUGGCGAGACAAAUCAAAGUGAGUUGGCUGCAUUCACAUCAUAUGCACUGGCAUUUCCAAACUCCUUCCUGGCCCUGGUGGACACAUACGAUGUCAUGAGAAGUGGAGUGCCAAACUUCUGCGCUGUUGCUUUAGCUCUCAAUGAUAUGGGGUAUAAGGCAGUUGGAAUUAGGUUAGACUCUGGUGAUUUAGCAUAUCUGUCUAUUGAGACACGCAAGUUCUUCUGUGCAAUUGAAAAAGAAUUUGGGGUUGUUGGCUUUGGAAAAACGAAUAUUACAGCAAGCAAUGAUCUCAAUGAGGAAACAAUUGAUGCAUUGAACAAGCAGGGUCAUGAGGUAGACUCAUUUGGCAUUGGCACCUACCUAGUUACCUGCUAUGCACAAGCAGCACUUGGUUGUGUAUUCAAGUUAGUUGAAAUUAACAAACAGCCUCGUAUUAAACUCUCUGAAGAUGUCACAAAGGUAUCGAUACCAUGUAAAAAACGAUGCUACAGAUUGUAUGGAAAAGAAGGUUAUCCUUUAGUUGAUAUAAUGACCGGACAAGACGAGCCAAGCCCAAAGGUUGGUGAGAGGAUUCUGUGUCGUCACCCUUUCAUCGAGUCAAAGAGAGCUCAUGUUGUUCCACAGCAUGUCGAGGAGUUGUUGAAGUGCUACUGGCCUGGACAUUCAUUUGAAAAGGACAUUGAUCCCAAUCUUUAUCCUCUUGUCAAUGCCGAAGCCGUACAAAGGGAGGAGCUGCCAUCCCUCAAUGAGAACAGGAGUCGGUGCAUGCGUCAGCUGGAACGGAUGAGGCCGGACCAUCUGAGGAAGUUAAAUCCAACACCAUACAAGGUGAGCGUGAGCGCCCAGCUCUACGAUUUCAUCCAUUUCCUGUGGCUCAACGAAGCUCCAGUCGGCGAACUGCAAUGA
rnacentral:rRNA from 1 species